rnacentral:rRNA from 1 species
AACGAACGCUGGCGGCGUGCCUAACACAUGCAAGUCGAGCGCGAAUGGAGCAAUCCUAGUAGAGCGGCGCACGGGUGCGUAACACGUGGGUAAUCUGCCUCGGGAGAUCGGAAUAACCUGCCGAAAGGCUGGCUAAUGCCGGAUAAGCCUACGAACUCUUCGGAGUUUGAAGGAAAGGUGGCCUCUGUAUACAAGCUAUCACUCUGAGAUGAGCCCGCGGCCCAUCAGCUAGUUGGCGGGUAACGGCCCACCAAGGCAACGACGGGUAGCUGGUCUGAGAGGACGAUCAGCCACACUGGAACUGAGACACGGGUCCAGACUCCUA